rnacentral:rRNA from 1 species
AUUGAACGCUGGCGGCAGGCCUAACACAUGCAAGUCGAGCGGAUGAAGGGAGCUUGCUCCUGGAUUCAGCGGCGGACGGGUGAGUAAUGCCUAGGAAUCUGCCUGGUAGUGGGGGAUAACGUCCGGAAACGGGCGCUAAUACCGCAUACGUCCUGAGGGAGAAAGUGGGGGAUCUUCGGACCUCACGCUAUCAGAUGAGCCUAGGUCGGAUUAGCUAGUUGGUGGGUAAAGGCCUACCAAGGCGACGAUCCGUAACUGGUCUGAGAGGAUGAUCAGUCACACUGGAACUGUGACACGGUCCAGACUCCUACGGGAGGCAGCAGUGGGGAAUAUUGGACAAUGGGCGAAAGCCUGAUCCAGCCAUGCCGCGUGUGUGAAGAAGGUCCUCGGAUUGUAAAGCACUUUAAGUUGGGAGGAAGGGCAGUAAGUUAAUACCUUGCUGUUUUGACGUUACCAACAGAAUAAGCACCGGCUAACUUCGUG